CCUACGGGGGACAGCAGUAGGGAAUCUUCCACAAUGGGCGAAAGCCUGAUGGAGCAACGCCGCGUGAGUGAAGAAGGUCUUCGGAUCGUAAAACUCUGUUGUCAGAGAAGAAAGUGCGUGAGAGUAACUGUUCACGUUUUGACGGUAUCUAACCAGAAAGCCACGGCUAACUACGUGCCAGCAGCCGCGGUAAUACGUAGGUGGCAAGCGUUAUCCGGAUUUAUUGGGCGUAAAGGGAACGCAGGCGGUCUGUUAAGUCUGGUGUGAAAGCCUUCGGCUUAACCGGAGUAGUGCAUUGGAAACUGGCAGACUUGAGUGCGGAAGAGGAGAGUGGAACUCCAUGUGUAGGAGUGAAAUGCGUAGAUAUAUGGAAGAACACCAGUGGCGAAGGCGACUCUCUGGUCUGUAACUGACGCUGAGGUUCGAAAGCGUGGGUAGCAAACAGGAUUAGAUACCCUAGUAGUC
rnacentral:rRNA from 1 species